rnacentral:rRNA from 1 species
ACUCAAAGGAAUUGACGGGGGCCCGCACAAGCGGUGGAGCAUGUGGAUUAAUUCGUCACUAACCGAAGAACCUUACCCAGGUUUGACAUCCCUCGCACCGGCCUGAAAGGGUCGUUCCCUUCGGGGACGAGGAGACAGGUGUUGCAUGGCUGUCGUCAGCUCGUGUCGUGAGAUGUUGGGUUAAGUCCCGCAACGAGCGCAACCCUCACCGUAUGUUGCCAGCGUAAAGUCGGGAACUCUUACGGAACUGCCCGUGCAAACGGGAGGAAGGCGGGGAUGACGUCAAGUCGGCAUGGCCCUUACGCCUGGGGCUUCACACAUGCUACAAUGGUGCCUACAAAGGGGUGCGACCCCGCGAGGGUGAGCGAAUCUCAAAAAAGGCAUCUCAGUUCGGAUUGCAGGCUGCAACUCGCCUGCAUGAAGCUGGAAUCGCUAGUAACCGCAGGUCAGCGAAACUGCGGUGAAUACGUUCCCGGGCCUUGCACACACCGCCCGU